UACGGGGGGGCAAGCGUUGUUCGGAAUUACUGGGCGUAAGGGCUCGUAGGCGGCCAACUAAGUCAGACGUGAAAUCCCUCGGCUUAACCGGGGAACUGCGUCUGAUACUGGAUGGCUUGAGGUUGGGAGAGGGAUGCGGAAUUCCUGGUGUAGCGGUGAAAUGCGCAGAUAUCAGGAGGAACACCGGUGGCGAAGGCGGUGGUCUGGGCCGGCACUGACGCUGAGGAGCGAAAGCGUGGGUAGCAAACAGG
rnacentral:rRNA from 1 species